CGCCGGGGACGCUGUUGGGCGCCGGAAGCGGUUCCGGCCCGACUCACGACCGGGGAGGACCUGGCCCGACUCCGGCGCGCGCGCGGCGGAGGACGAGGAAGAGCUGGGGCGAGGCAGAUCUUGCCCCGCGACCGCGGCCGUCUUGUAGGUUGGCCCCAGGAGGCUCCCGGGAAUGCCUGUCCGUGCGAUGCUGCCCCAUGUGAUGCUCACCUUCUGGCGCCUGGGCUGUGCCUCGGCCUCCUGCCGGCUGGCUCCAGUGAGACACAGAGGAAGUGGCCUUCUCCACACAGCCCCAGUGGCCCGCUCGGACCGGAGCGCCCCUGUGUUCACCCGCGCCCUGGCCUUUGGGGACAGAACCGCCCUGGUUGACCAGCAUGGCCACCACACGUACAGGGAGCUUUAUUCCCGCAGCCUUCGCCUGUCCCAGGAGAUCUGCAGACUCCGCGGGUGUGUCGGCGGGGACCUCCGGGGGGAGAGGGUCUCCUUCCUGUGCGCUAACGACGCCUCCUACGUGGUGGCCCAGUGGGCCUCGUGGAUGAGCGGCGGUGUGGCAGUCCCCCUCUACAGGAAGCACCCCGCCGCCCAGCUGGAGUAUGUCAUCUGCGACUCCCAGAGCUCUGUGGUCCUUGCCGGCCAGGAGUACCUGGAGCUCCUGAGCCCGGUGGUCAGGAAGCUGGGGGUCCCACUGCUGCCGCUCAUGCCAGCCGUCUACACUGGAGCAGUAGAGGAACCAGCAGAGGUCCCCGUCCCAGAGCAGGGGUGGAGGGACCAGGGCGCCAUGAUCAUCUACACCAGUGGGACCACAGGGAGGCCCAAGGGCGUGCUGAGCACGCACCGAAACAUCAGGGCUGUGGUGACCGGGCUGGUCCGCAAGUGGGCAUGGACCAAAGACGACGUGAUCCUCCACGUGCUUCCACUGCACCACGUCCACGGUGUGGUCAAUGCGCUGCUCUGUCCUCUCUGGGUGGGAGCCACCUGUGUGAUGAUGCCUGAAUUCAGCGCCCAGCAGGUUUGGGAAAAGUUCUUAAGCUCUGAAACGCCGCGGAUCAGUGUCUUCAUGGCAGUGCCUACAAUAUACACCAAGCUGCUGGAGUACUAUGACAGGCAUUUUACCCAGCCGCACGCCCAGGAUUUCUUGCGUGCAGUUUGUGAAGAAAAAAUUAGGCUCAUGGUCUCAGGCUCAGCUGCCCUGCCCAUCCCGGUGCUGGAGAAGUGGAAGAACAUCACGGGCCACACCCUGUUGGAGCGGUAUGGCAUGACUGAGAUCGGCAUGGCUCUGUCCGGGCCCCUGACCGCCACAGGACGCCUGCCAGGUUCUGUGGGGACCCCGCUGCCCGGAGUACAGGUGCGCAUUAUCUCAGAAAAGCCACAAAAGGAAGGCUGCUCCUACACCGUCCACGCAGAGGGAGACGAGAGGGGGACCAAGGUGACCCCAGGGCUUGAAGAGAAGGAGGGGGAGCUGCUGGUGAGGGGACCGUCUGUGUUUCGAGAGUACUGGAAUAAACCAGAAGAAACUAAAAGUGCAUUCACCCUGGAUGGCUGGUUUAAGACAGGUGCCAAGCUGACUGACGGGCCAUGCUGAGGAGGGGUGGCCCCAGCCCUCCUGCAAGAUGCCCUUCAGUGCAGCCUGCAGGGCCACCAGGCCCACGAGACGGGCAUGGCCUUCAGAUGUAUCUUAGCCUGGGUUCCCUAGAAACACACGCGGACUCUGGGCAGAGGGGGACACCGUGGUGUUUAAGGACGGCCAGUACUGGAUACGAGGCCGGACCUCAGUGGACAUCAUCAAGACUGGAGGCUACAAGGUCAGCGCCCUGGAGGUGGAGUGGCACCUGCUGGCCCACCCCAGCAUCACAGAUGUGGCGGUGAUUGGAGUUCCGGAUAUGACAUGGGGCCAGCGGGUCACUGCCGUGGUGACCCUCCGAGAAGGACAUUCACUGUCCCACAGGGAGCUCAAAGAGUGGGCCAGAGAUGUCCUGGCCCCGUACGCCGUGCCCUCGGAGCUCGUGGUGGUGGAGGAGAUCCCGCGGAACCAGAUGGGCAAGAUUGACAAGAAGGCACUCAUCAGACGCUUCCACCCCUCGUGACCCGCGCACCAGGGGCUGGGCACUUGGACUGCGGGUCUGGCUGGGAGCAGCAGACGUCUCCCUCACACCGAGCACCGCGGGGGCCUGUCUGAGACCUGGCCUCCCUUAAGCCUGAAUGCCCCAAAUCGGGUCACGUAGAACAAAAACUGUUUGGGAUGAAAUCACCACGUGAGGUCCCCAGCCUUGGGCCAGUUGUUGCAGCUCAAGGAGACCGUCCCUGAUAUCACCUCUGCCUGGUCACUGCCGACCUCGCAGCCCGCCCCACGUGCCCACGGCUGCCUGGUCACCACCAACCUCGCGGCCGGCCCCACGUGCCCACGUCUGCCUGGUCACCACCGACCUCGCGGCCGGCCCCACGUGCCCACGUCUGCCUGGUCACCGCCGACCUCGCGGCCGGCCCCACGUGCCCACGUCUGCCUGGUCACCACCGACCUCGCGGCCGGCCCCACGUGCUCAGGCACCUCCCGCCCCACAGUGCCCUGCAGUUACCAGGCUCUCCAGGGUGGGUCCCGGAGGUGUCCCCCAAAAAAGAAAUAAAGACUCCACUGGAGGAACGAGGGCCGUCCCA